UCCCCCUCAACCACAAGCUCAUGGGCGACUAGGGUUUUCUCGUGCCGGCACCACAAGUCCACAACCAAUCUGCGUCGGGUCUUGUGGCCUUAGGACUACCGGGGCGUGGUGAAUUCGGACCCUUGCGAGCUCCUGCUCCAUUUUAUGUGUUUUUUAGUUUGUUUAGGAUUUACAUCUGGCUCAGAAAAGUGGGGUGAUGAUAACUUUUUGAAGAUGGAAUAAAAUUCUUUUUGCCUGGCCCGUAUUGAUGAUGCAUCUACCGUUGUUGGAAGGCUUGUGGAGGCGUGUCUCAGACGGACCAUGCAAGAUUUGUUCGGUGUUUGUUUUCAAUGGAUCUACUUGAAUCGGGUCUUUGUUCGUGUGAGUUCACGUGUCUACAGAUUGGGUCCAUCCGAUCUAUGCUUUUUCUUCAUCGCCGAUGAUUGUUGUUCUGUUGC
rnacentral:lncRNA from 1 species